CCGCGAUCAUAGGAAAAUCGCCGCGCUUUCCACCUCCUCAUCGUCGAUGAGUGAUUAGAAAUUACUCCUACACCAAGGUGGAUUUUAUGGUUUCAGUGUUCCCGAUGAUUUGGAAGUGGGACCUUCUAUGUUGUUGCGAAUGAUAUAUUAGGAGAGAUCAUUAGUCUGGAAUGUUGUAACGAAGGAAGGAGAAAAUAUGGCGUAGCUUAGAUCCGACAACAGAAGAUAUAAGAAACGCGGAAAUGAUUCGCGUGAUUCUAUAUUAGGAUUAUUUGAGUCAGGGAAGAGGUAUGAUAUAAACAACAAAAUAACUUGCAGGAAUAAAGUAAUAUCGAAGUUUCCUCGAAGAAAAGUCGUAGGAUAUUGUAUUACGUCUAGAGGAUUCAGCUGCUUCGCUGACACUUGGCAGGUAGUCUACGGAAUUCGUAUUUUUACGUGACAGCCACGAUAUGUGUUAAUAAUAUUCGAGGUUCUCGAGUGUAAACUGUGUUCUUUUUCACCGUGUUUCGUCAACAUUGUGAUUAGGUUUCCUCCAAGCAUGUGAACGCGCCGUUACCAAACUAGAUCUUCUAUUUACAAUUGUAGUUAUUCUGAUCGCUAAUGAAGCUAAUUCGUGUUAAUGGAACGUUAGAAACUGCUUUCGUAAAGAAACCAGGACACAUUUGCCAAUUUCAGGAUCGUCAAAUAUUAGAAUUUAACAUUCUUUCUAGUUUUUUAUAAAUUAUGUAAGCCAUCCAGAAGCUUUGACUUAUAAUUGCGUAAAGUGUAAAAACCAGUUUCACAAAUAUUUAAGUUCGUCAUCGAAGAUCUCGAAUUUAAUCCAGUGAUUUCAUACGGUCACCAGAAUGGAAGGCUUUGUCAAUGUUCCGUAUCGUACGAUCUACUGACAAAAGGUACUAAUUGAUUAUAGAAGAGAUUCCUUGAUCGACAAAGAUGAGUAAGCAAUUUACCUUUGAAGAAUCGGCACAUUAACGAUAUGACUCUUAAUCCUCGAUUAUCAGUGUUGCCAAACACAUUUAAUGUUAUUCACCUAGGAAAUCACGUUCUCAAAUUAACUCUUUCACAAUCCCUUGAUACUCUAUGAUCGAGCAAUAUUGUCAUACAUCGUAUCCAUCCAAUAUUUGACAAUUUGUCGUGUCUUGAUAUAAUAAAUGCUUACGACAUUCUCUGUAUAGAUCUAUUCACAAUAGCAAUGUUAGAUCGUAGAGGUUAAUCAUUAGUAACAAUACGACAGAAGUUACUUGGAACAGGAUUCUAAUCCAUUUGAGGCAAGAAUUCUCCCGUCGUCGACCAAUAUUUCCAUCAAGUUGUCCAAUUAAAUAAUUUUUUCGUAAUACCACUGAUGCAACGCGAUACGAUCGCUUGUUCGCAGUCGUAAACGGAAACGAGCUUGGGAAAACCUGCUUUUUACCGAUCGAUUCCGCGGUGACUCUAUGAAAUAGGUAUUCGCAACUGGUCUUCUCGUUCGCGUGGCCGUCGAGACGGCGCGCGAGAUUUUUGUUCGCGAUUCGCGAGUUCGGAAAUAACUCUGUUACGUCGCGAGACGCGUGCUGCGCUCCUUUACGUAAAUCCUUGCGUGUGUCUCGUUAGGCUCUCGCGUUCCUUCGCCCGUGGCGGGUUAAUGUCUCAAUCGAGCAGUCACGAUCUGUCAAAGGACCACGUCAGGAUCCAUAGAAUCGCCCAACAUUCCACAGUGGACGCUUAUUAGGCGACCGAUCGUGUCACCGCGGUAACGAGCACGGAAACAGACACUUCGGGUCUAUCGACGAUCGUGCCACUCAGGAAUCACCUCGCGUGAAUUGUAAGUCGCGCGUCGGUUGCAUGUUAAUUGACGUGGCCACUGAUCUCGGCUAAUAACUGUCGCGUGUUUAUUCCCCUUUCUUUCGCUUUUUCUUUUUCCUCCGCGUUUUAUUGCCAGGUCUUUUUAUAGUGCGAACGUGAAAGCACGGUAACGAGACACAGCAAAGUUGUUGAAGCGUCUCGUACCCUGCAAUCGCUGCUUUUGAUAAUGCCCGAGGUUUCCAGGUCAUCGUGUACUUUUUUGGCAUAAAGAUUAUCAAGAAACUUCUGUCGCGGUGUGUGAAAGAUGUUUGUACAAAGUAGACGUACGGAACGAAAUAAUACUCUACCGUAUGUAGUAAUCAUUCCUAUACAUGAUAACCGAGUAAUUCGACAAUGAAUGACGGGUUCUUGCCGGAGCAUCAACCAAAUAUGUCUGACGUGGCAGUCAUUACGUUAAAGAUUCUCAGGAUUGUAAACUCUAAAACUCAUAAAAAUGUCAAGAAGGGAUUGAAAAAAUGAAUCUUUAUUUAGAUCGCUAGAAAGGUUAAUUUACAUUCCGACGAAAACACACCAACCUUUUUUUAGCACUAUCAACACCAAGUGUAAAUAAUUUCCGUUUACAUAUAACUCCUGCAACUUCAGAUAAAUUGUUUUAUAAUUAGUGAUUAAGAGCGACGUGCUUGCAAUUCGCGUGACAGUGCACAUUUUCUUUUUUAUGGCACGUGCGUGAGUCUAUAUCAGCGCGCGAAAGAGCGCGCAAAAAUGUUCCGUGAUGCCGGUCACGUGCAAUAAACACGAUCGUGCGCGGAAGUUUGGCCCACUUGUCCAAUACGCGUCCACGAAACUUCAUCGUCAUCUUUGAUAAGCAUCGGCCAUGUCGAGUCACGAGCACGAUCGAUCUAUGUAUAUUAUUCCACAAGGUCGGUUCCUUUUUCGUUCGGUCGAAUUUCGAGUUUCUCAAAUUUAUUGUUUCUACAUUGUACGGCACGUUUGUAUUCUCUUAGGACUCUUUCCCCUAGAAAUAAAUGAUACGAGUGGGAAAAAGAGGAGGAGAAAGUUUAAUCUGUUUUUAUUACGUUCGUUUAAAUAAAAAGUAAAUGUGAAAAGAAGCGUCGCAGACGUGAACUUGAAGACCAAACGUAUCACGCAAAGUGCGAUCUCUGAUGAUGUUACAAGUGAUUUAUCCACUUCCGUUCGUCACAUUGUGUAAGGACUAGGAAUUAUCAUUAACGACAUGGAAUUGUUUUUUUCCUUCUUACCUUCGUUUGCGUGAAACGCGUUUUAGACCCAAGAACAAUUUGAGUUUCUUCAUAUAUAUUUGCUUUGUAUUUAUUAAAUUUAUUAAUACUUUUCGAUCUAACAUUCUCCGUCUGUUUGUGACUUAUAUUUUAAAUAUCCGCAGGAGGAAAAUUUUCGAGAGUAUUUAAAUCAGUGGACUUCUCCGUUUUAUUCGUACUUUGUCGUAAAUUUGAUAUAAACCUCGACGAUCCAAGUUUAGAACGUUUUUAUCGCAAAAUUAACUCUCAGAGAUAAUUCUUUUGAUAAAUAUUCGGCAUUUUUAUUUAUUUACUUAAAAUGAAUGCUUUUGGUAUUGAUAGAAGCCUUUCUUUGAAAUCUACCGAGUUUUAAUAUUAAAGAAGUUUUUUUGAGAUUAUUAUGUAAAAAUCUUCACUAAAUAAUUUUUACUAUCGAUAUUCCGAUAUCUAAGAUAAUUUACCAGAGUUUUAAUAUUUCCAUAGACAAUGAAGCACAAAUUUUCGGCAUGUUUUCGACACAGUUCCAACAAUCUCUUGCUCACGAAGAUCGUGAAAUUUACGAUCAUAACAAAGUAAGGCAUGCUUUUUUUUUUAUACUGUUUUGACACGUCGCGAGCAAAAUCAAAGGAGAAAAAACUCAUUUCUCAUGCAACGACCAAAAACUGCAUCCCAAUCAAACAGACCAGACUUUCGAUCCUACGCUCGUACAUUUGCAUUUCUACUCGCCUCGGAUAAUUCAGUAACACGAGGAUUCGCAUUCCCCAAUGCCUUAUUUAGUAUAUGCCCGUGCAUCGUCCCCAAAUAGGAUCGAACCAGUCGAAUUUCUGCAGCAAUCGAUCUAUCCAAAAUUCCAAGCUCCGCUUGUCAGAACCGCUGCAUCAUUAUCGAUCUUAGGAUCCGAUCUCGCUGACCAUAUUUGGUGGAACGCACGCUGCUCCACUCGAUGAUCCAUCAAUUCCUCUCGUGUCGUCACGUCCUGUAUGCAAUCUUCUAUGCCGACGUCGAUGACAUAGUAUUCUCGGUCUCUGACGGCAUCGUCGAGCCGCGGAUUAUGACGAACAAUCGAGUGACGCACAUCCUGAAACAGUAGCUAGCCAGACUGCAACGGUCAGGAGGUUAUUUUUAAGACUUGAUCGUUCAUUCACGUUUUUCCCAGGAACCUCUUGAGUCAGCACACACGAAACUAAGGACGUUCCGAAGUCGGUUCGAUUCCCGCGAGAAGAUCGCCGGCCGCAUGAGGAUGCGUGUUUAUUUCGAAGCGGUGUGUCUAGCGUGCGUGAGUCAUAGGAAGAGAUUCUUGGUAUCAAGGUCGCCGAUGGUCGUGACCUUCCUCGGCCACGCCGCCGUUACCGAUAUUCUGGCGCCAUGCUGUGCCACCCGAAAUAUUUCCCAAAAUUUUUUUCGUGGUAGAGAUAGUAUCAAAGAUGAACAUAGUGGUUGGGAAGGUCGUGGUUUGGAAUUUUUGCGAUGAUCGAGAGAGAACAGACGAUACGUUUAUUCGGUUGUCAGAUUUUUGAUAACGUUUAUUCGGGACGCCAUUAAUACAGUCUGCAUUAAGGAUAGCUAUUGCGUUAACACGACCUUUCAUUUUCAAUUCUUUUUCGGUCUAUUUACAUUAUCGAAUUCUGUUUUUUCAACGUUCUGGCUACGAAAAUGAAUCUCAAAGAUUCCCUUGAUAUUUCCUUUUUCUACUAUUUUUUCUAUCUAUAUACUACAAUUUUAUGAAAUUGAAAAAAAACUGAAGUAUUUGUAACGUUACGAUAGCCUUAGUCUUUAAUGGGUUAAACGGAGUUUCAUUGCUUCAUUCAGGAUACGACCGAACUAUUAUACAAUAAUUAAACGUCGCUUAAACGAUCCAGAUAUAUCCAAUACGGAAGCAGGAAGCUUACCUCGUGUACCUUAUCAAUUUACUACAUUUACUUGUCGCGAUCGAUCCGCGAAUAGCUCUACGUCUACGAAUCAACAACACGACCAAUAUCUCGACGUUAUUAAGAUUCAUAUCAGCCUCUCUAAUUAUGUUUAAUUAGUCACUGUGCGUCUCGGAAACGCAGUCAGCGCGCACGAACCGAGAGAGACCAAUUUUCAGCAUGAAUAAUACGACACUUCCUGAUUUUCUUCUCUCGUCUGAAUAAUACCCAGGGAAACUCGAGAAAUUUUCUUCGUUGUAAUUUCAUGAGAAACGACCGUGCACCUCGAAUCUCUCAUUAACACGAUCUCGCGCGGUGCUUGAUCUACCAGCUUCUGACAAACAGUUGCCGCGAUGAUUUCGAGACGAGCGGUCCUAACAAUGGAACGCGAUAAAUGUCGACGUUCGCGAGCUCUUAAUUAAACCUGUCCAGUAUUCCCGUCGUUUCGAUAGUUCUUUCUUUUCCCCACGACACGCGCCCAUUGUCGUCCAACUCACGAGGUGUCUACGCGCCAGCGUAUUUUCCCGCAAUUUCGCACAAAAGCCGAGAAUGCUGUUUCUCACAGGUGACUUAUCGUGGCGUAUCUUGAGAACCGGGACGGGCUGGUUAAUUUCAAGAUCACGGCGAAAAGGUUGUUCCCCGGUGCGUAGCUUGAUGUCACGGCCUUUGAUCCUGUAGUGGUACGCUCAGCUACAAUAUACGCCGACGCUUUUGAAAAUAAUGUUACUUUGUUAUUAGACAUAUUAAACGGUUACUCUUCAGUAUCUUCCUGUUGUACGCUUCUUGUUUCAAAGCAAACGCUUUUAUCGCGCAGCUGAGAUUAUGAGAGAAAUUUGUGUUUAAUUCCAGCUCGGGUAAAAUUUGUUUCGAAAAUAAGUAUGAGUAACAAUACGAUAUAAUAUCUCCUUGGAUCUAUAGUAAUAUAAUUUCUGAAAAAAUUGGUCGCGAGAUGUAACAAUUCACUGCAUAAGUCUCAGCUUUCUUUUUCUCGCCAUAAAGUCACCAAGUUAACUGCGUUAUCCCUGUUUUUGCUUUUCUCUGUCAAUCUGUGACGUAGAAAUCUGGGGAGAUACCCUGUCGCUUUGUUUUUCCUUUUUCUUUUUUUAUUUUUUCGCUUUCUGGAACAGUGUACCGGUGCUUGUACAAUCAUUCAACACGAACGUGACCGAAAUAGGGAUGAGCAGUUGCAUUCUUUUUCUUGGAAUUCUGCUCGUUCGUUCCGGUGAUUUGAACGAUGGGACAGAAGAGAUUCCGAGGUUCUCGUGCUGUUUCUCGCGACAGCAGCGAUUGUGUUGCGUAGAAUCGUAUACAAUAACAUGUAAACUCCAUUAAAGCCCAUCUUAGUAGUGGGAAUAAGAACAAUUUCAGAAUUGAUUUUUUCUAUUUUUGAUAUACUUAUUCGGUUUGGAUAAGUGGGAAAGCUAUAGAUGCAAAUUGAUCGGUGAAAUUGAUCGAUGUAAUCUAACGUGUGCGAAUGGUUAGAACGAAAAAAUCUUCAGCACAGUAGUCGUUAGGGCGUAGGUUCGUCGAGACGAUGAUUGUUAGUAGUUGAAUAAUAACUAUGAAACUCGUGGUUCGUUAGUUUGCGAUUAGAACUAAUCAUUUAACGUGACCGUAAUUGAGUCAACGACAAUGGGACGGCAUGGAAGAUCUCGAUGCGAGCGUAAUUUUCUGAUUGCGUGCAGUUGAAUACACUGUUUCUCUUUAAUAAUAUCUAGCAGUUCUUUUCUCAAACGUUAUAAAUAAGCCGUAUAAAAUUUUUAUGCGAAGAACGAAGAGCUUCAUUCACUUGUGGCGAAUAAAUCUUCGGAGAACAUUGUGAUAAAAUACGGCUGCUAUAAAAACUAGGCUUACAAACACGCGAGUUCGAUAACAGAAUGAUUAAAGCAAACGGAUCUCAGCGCAAACAAGAAUCUACGAAAACAGUUUUAUAGUGUUUGUCCAGUCGUGUUAAUGCAAAUUUGGAAAUUCUUGCGUAAAACAAGCUAUAACGAGAUAGAUCGAUACGUCUCAUACGUUUAGUGGAACGUGACGUAGAAUCUGAAUAAAGAAAGGCAACUUGGAUACUCGUAAGCUUUUAAAAAAUCAAACGGCAUUACAUACGCCUUGCUGACUUCUCUUUGCCUCAAGUUAACGAAGCAAGGACAUUUACUUAAUGAAUUAGUGUUCACGAGCCGUGCACUGAUGAGGGAUAUAAAUUGUAUUUGCCAUGUAUACAAAGCUUACAAAAUUGUUCCAUCAUUGAAUAAGUACAGAUAUUUAUUAACGCGUGUCAUGUACGGUAUAAAAAAGAAAAGUUACAACAGAACGUUCAGAUCAAAUACAAAAAUCAUAUUGAUUAACAUUUGAUAUAUGUGUCCGUUGCAUACGUCUUGGAUCAAAACUGAUAUAGAUAUAUAUUUUUUUUAUUACACGACUUUCAUUGAAUUUAAUUUAAAGCAAAAGGGAAAUUAGGAAAUGUAACUGGUCUUAAAACUAUUUAAUGUACAGGUAAUCGAUAUUUCGAUGCAAUACGCGAUGCUUCAUAUACAAGCAGUCAAUAAGAAUUAUCAUCUGAUUUUCUUGUAACUAGGUCACGAUUUAAUUAAACAUCACAAGGAACUAUGCGAAUCAUUCGGUCAAGGCAAUAUUCUCGAUAACUUGAGAACAAAUCUCAUCUACUCUGAUCUGAAUGUACGUGAAAAAGGACGAUGCGACGCGUGUCUGCUUUGCGAUUCAUCGGCAUUGCCGGCGGAACUUUCCUCCGACCGAUUUUCCCUUUCGCUCGCGGAAUUAGAAAUUCUACUUAAACGCGGCCGCUCUUGUUCCAUCGCUCAUUACGAAUUCCGUCAGCGUGUUGUCUGUAUUUUUACACGUACAAUGACCUUCUAUAGAAGAAGAAGAGCGACUAGCGAAAGUGUCAUUGCUCGCCGCUGCAUAUUACCGCUAACAUCCGUCGCUUUCGCCGCGAUUUCGUUGAGAUUCGACUCGCGUCCUUUCCUUUUCGGUGUUUUCCGCGCUUGUUCGCACUCGAUCUUUACGCUCGAACCGCCCUAUUGUCUUCUUGCGAGAGUUGACAAGCUUUCAGGUCUUGUCGCCUGGAAAAGUAUCGGAGAAAGGGCUACCUACAUUAUUAACGCGUAUCUUGCUAUACGUGUGAUCAUUGUGAAACCGUUGUCGUUCGGUUGGAGGUUCUUGGAAAAUUUGAAGACACAGGGAGGUUGGAAAUGGUAGGAAAUUCUCCAAAAUGCAGGAAAAUCUCUGAAGUUACAUGAAAUUUUCCAGAGAAAGAAUGCAAUAGCAUCAAGUAUUUCAUACUAUAUACAUAGGAAUUUCUUUUAUCUUAUAGUUGAAAAACGGACGACAUCAUUGAGGAACAUUUCCCGUGACUAAUAAUUAAAAAUAGAAUGUGCAUAAUUGUGAGAGGAAACAUUUUACAGCGAAAAUAAAUUUAUGAAAAUAAUAUUUAUAAUUCUCACUAUUCUAUGCAUUUAAAUUUAUGAAGUUGAUAAGUAUAGCUUCGGAGAAUAUUAUUUCAUAUCUCUGUAAUAUCUGUACAAAGGCCUCUUUCACUUUGAAUUCACGACGCUGCAAUACCUAAAAUAAUUUCCAAUACUUCGAGCCAAUUACCAGUCAUCGGAUAUCGAAAUCGUUCGUAUCCUAUAAAGGUAAAUCGUUGUGCUUUCCACGGUAAAAACUUGAAUUUAUACGAAUGCAUUUCUUUAUGAGAAACGCGAGAUAUCGGAUGCACGUCAUAGCUGCAUUCGAAGUAAAUGUAGAAUGAAGGAAGAGAAAAAUGUACAACGGCGGCGAUUAUCGGUGAACGUAACCUUAAUUGUUCGUGCGUUUUAUGCGUAAAAUCUCCGUAUUCGUGCGUUCUCAUUCGUAGAAUUUGCCUAUUCACGUCUGGGUAUCUAUACGUUUUCCAUAUUAGUCAACCGAAAGAAAUCGCGUAUUUGCAGUUCGUUCGAAUAGCACGCAACGCCAUUAAUGCUGUAAAGAGAGAAAAAUAUCAAGACUUACGAGUCUAUACGAGUCGAUAAAAAACAGGAUAUUUAAAGGGAUGCAAAAUGUGACAAUUUUUUAAACAAAUGCUAUUGAAUUUCACGGAAAUAUAACGCGAAGAAUUAUCGUUACGGUGAAAGUUUACAAGAAAGCAAAGACCUACUGGAGAAGAUUUAAGGCCAUUUUCUUUCCCUAUUUGCGGCUCUUUCGCGAAUUGUAACGCGAAUAAGUUUAUUUCGUUGUGCUCUCGUAACAUACGCGAAAUCCUCCACCAUUGUUUGACGAGUGAAGAAUCGAAGAAACAUUACGUCGCUGUUUCUCUGAAAUUCACCGUAUCCUAAGAAUAGCAUCGACAGAUCGAACCUAGUUCUUACUUCUCGUCAAGAGGAGGAGAUUAUGAAUUAGCGGUAUUCGUUCGUAUCGUUUCGUAAGGAAUUUUAUCGCGACGGGACUUUUCGUUCGUGAAACGCUGGAAAUAGUUCGGACGAAAUGUGUUUUGCAUUCUCGUCUGGAUUAUAAUGCAUGUUGAGCCACGGGCAAUGAACAUUAAUAUUCAGGCGCUGUUUCGUCAUUCAAUUUCUCGUAUUCGCGUUCCUUUGUAGCGAAAAUGCCUAAGGAACUGUUACGUGGCGGUAAUUCAUGGCGCGAGCCAUGAAUAUCGCGAUUAUAUCGCUCGGGACGACUCGUCCGUUUCAUGAAACAUUUUCGUUGAGACUUUUGACAAGACCUUCCAGGCUGCUUACUGGGAAAUUCAAUUCCAUUGCUUCCGUAAUAAAGGAGUAAUAUUGGAAGAUCUUGGUAUCAUAGUUAGUCACUUAUGUUGUAGUUAUAACACUCUUCCAGUACAAUAUACGGUCUAGAACAGUUUUAUUAAGAAUACAGCGGCAUUCAGACAUAUGAGGUGAAAAUUGUAGGAAAAAAAGUGUAAAACUAAGAUUAUGCAUAUUUGAUAGCUGCACAGUUAGAAAUAGUUUCCACUUAUUUUUAAGUAGACUUAAAGGAUAGAGAUAAAUUAAUGACUACUUGUCAAUUGCUUGUUGCACAAUCACCGGAUUGCGGUGAUUAACUUAUUUCUCUACCGAAACACCACCGAUUCGAUAAACACGCGUAACCAAUGCGAUCGUUCUCCAAACGGUUACUUUAGCCAAUUCAAUUACAAAUUUCCCUUUUUUUGAUACUUCUCUCGAGCGUAUACAGUAUACUUAGAAAUAAUUGCUGAAUAAACGAUUAGUAUCGUAACAUCUCAAAAAACUAAGGAUUUACCUCUAUAACUUCAUUUAUUGCAAGGGAAUAACAUAAACAAUCGUAAAUUUUCCCAUUACAGUAUUUAACACAUUCUUCUUUAUUCCCUGAUUAUUCACGUAGUCGAUCAAUUUAGUUUCUGAGCGAUUCGUAUCUGCUUCUGCGCUGUUCUCAGCCGAAAAAAUUGGAUACAAUGGAAAUGAUGGCCAAGUCUGACGCAUGAUAUUCAAACGGACGUAAAGAAAAAGAAAGCAAGGAGGCAGGACAAAGCGCAGGGAGGAUCGUCGAAGAACAUCCUGCUGAUAGAAUUUGAAAAAAGGCUCGUCGAUGCACUCUCUCAACAUGGUCGGGGAUCACGACCUUGCCACGGCGAAUCCGGGAUUCGAUCACGCUCGCCUUGCCGCGAGAGACCCGGUCGAAACUGGCCUUUUCUUUUCGUGCGUCGAUCACGAAACCCACCAUGGGAAGUUAACAUUCCGGUGGCGUCGCUCCAGCGGUAACGUUAAGGCCUUUCCAGUCGAUAUUGCCACGAGAGAGAAAGAGAGAGACCACGGAUCCCUUUCUUAUUUCUCCUCUAUGAGCCACGCCUAGCACUUGCUCCGUGUAACCAUUUGCACACACCCUUCACUACAUAUAGAACACGAGUGGGAAACGUGGGCGAGUCGUCGGCCACGAUAUAUCUCGGCCGAUGAUAUCGCUGGCAGGUUAUCGGGCAAAAUCCGCCGAUCCCGAAACGAGAGGAAAGCUCUGAAGAAAAAUUUCCGAUGGAACGCUGGUGAGAUCGUUUGCCGAGGUUUCAAUCGAAGUUGUAGUUGCGCUAUGGUCAGGGGAGGAAAGGUCACGGUGCGGUGGGAUUUACGUACUGACUAUGGUAGAGAUGGAAGGUGAGCUUGAUACGGAUCAUAAAUUCGAUCGAUUGUUAAAUCGUAACACGUUUUAGCAAUUGAUGCUUCGGGCAAAACGGGAUCCAAGCGUCAGCGUAUUGCAAUUGCAGAUAAGAAUGUGAUACGGUUGCGUUUAAUUUAAAAGCGGAUGGGCUAUUCUGACGUAAAAGAUAGGCAAAUUUCACUGAUUGCACGUUUUAGUUAAUAGGUAUUUUACUUAUUAACGCGCGUGUAGUUUUAAGACAAUACUUAAUCGCUUAAAUUAUUAUAAUAAUACAUAAUAUUAUUAUGUAUUAUUAU